UACGUAGGUGACAAGCGUUGUCCGGAUUUACUGGGCGUAAAGAGCGCGCUGGCGGUCGAUCAAGUCGAGUGUGAAAGCCCCCGGCUCAACUGGGGAGGGUCAUUCGGUACUGAUCGACUCGAAGGCAGGAGAGGGUAGUGGAAUUCCUGGUGUAGCGGUGGAAUGCGCAGAUAUCAGGAGGAACACCGGUGGCGAAGGCGGGUCUCUGGGCAGUAACUGACGCUGAGGAGCGAAAGCGUGGGAGCGAACAGG
rnacentral:rRNA from 1 species